rnacentral:rRNA from 1 species
CAAUCUCAGUUCAGAUUGCAGGCUGCAACUCGCCUGCAUGAAGUCGGAAUUGCUAGUAAUCGUAGGUCAGCAUACUACGGUGAAUACGUUCCCGGGCCUUGUACACACCGCCCGUCAAACCAUGAGAGUUGGCAACACCCGAAGUCGGUAGUCUAACCGCAAGGAGGACGCCGCCGAAGGUGGGGUUGAUGAUUAGGGUUAAGUCGUAACAAGGUAAC